rnacentral:rRNA from 1 species
GAAUUCGCCCUUAGAGUUUGAUCCUGGCUCAGGACGAACGCUGGCGGCACGCCUAACACAUGCAAGUCGAACGGUGAAGGGGGAGCUUGCUCCUCCGGAACAGCGGCGGACGGGUGAGUAACACGUGAGCAACCUGCCUUUCAGAGGGGGACAACAGUUGGAAACGACUGCUAAUACCGCAUAAUGUAUUUUGGCGGCAUCGCCGGAAUACCAAAGGAGCAAUCCGCUGAAAGAUGGGCUCGCGUCUGAUUAGAUAGUUGGUGAGGUAACGGCUCACCAAGUCGACGAUCAGUAGCCGGACUGAGAGGUUGAACGGCCACAUUGGGACUGAGACACGGCCCAGACUCCUACGGGAGGCAGCAGUGGGGGAUAUUGGACAAUGGGGGAAACCCUGAUCCAGCGAUGCCGCGUGAGGGAAGAAGGUUUUCGGAUUGUAAACCUCUGUGGAGGGGGACGAUAAUGACGGUACCCCUUUAGGAAGCCACGGCUAACUACGUGCCAGCAGCCGCGGUAAUACGUAGGUGGCGAGCGUUGUCCGGAAUUACUGGGUGUAAAGGGAGUGUAGGCGGGAAGGCAAGUCAGAAGUGAAAACUAUGGGCUUAACCCAUAGCCUGCUUUUGAAACUGUUUUUCUUGAGUGAAGUAGAGGCAAGCGGAAUUCCUAGUGUAGCGGUGAAAUGCGUAGAUAUUAGGAGGAACACCAGUGGCGAAGGCGGCUUGCUGGGCUUUUACUGACGCUGAGGCUCGAAAGCGUGGGGAGCAAACAGGAUUAGAUACCCUGGUAGUCCACGCCGUAAACGAUGAUCACUAGGUGUGGGGAGCGAACCUUUCCGUGCCGGAGUAAACACAAUAAGUGAUCCACCUGGGGAGUACGGCCGCAAGGCUGAAACUCAAAGGAAUUGACGGGGGCCCGCACAAGCAGUGGAGUAUGUGGUUUAAUUCGAUGAUACGCGAGGAACCUUACCCGGGCUCAAACGACACAGGAAUACUUUUGAAAGGAGGUAGCUCUACGGAGCCUGUGUCGAGGUGCUGCAUGGUUGUCGUCAGCUCGUGCCGUGAGGUGUCGGCUUAAGUGCCAUAACGAGCGCAACCCCCAUCGUCAGUUGCCAUCGGGUCAUGCCGGGCACUCUGACGAGACUGCCGGCGCAAGCUGUGAGGAAGGCGGGGAUGACGUCAAAUCAGCACGGCCCUUACGUCCGGGGCGACACACGUGUUAUAAUGGCAGGUACAGAGAGAAGCGACACGGCGACGUGAAGCGGAACUGCCAAAACCUGUCUCAGUUCGGAUCGGAGUCUGCAACCCGACUCCGUGAAGCUGGAUUCGCUAGUAAUCGCGCAUCAGCCAUGGCGCGGUGAAUACGUUCCCGGGCCUUGUACACACCGCCCGUCA